rnacentral:sRNA from 1 species
UAACGGUUGAUGAGCGGAUCCAAAUCCAA